AUUGAACGCUGGCGGCAGGCCUAACACAUGCAAGUCGAACGGUAACAGGAAGAAGCUUGCUUCUUUGCUGACGAGUGGCGGACGGGUGAGUAAUGUCUGGGAAACUGCCUGAUGGAGGGGGAUAACUACUGGAAACGGUAGCUAAUACCGCAUAACGUCGCAAGACCAAAGAGGGGGACCUUCGGGCCUCUUGCCAUCGGAUGUGCCCAGAUGGGAUUUGCUAGUAGGUGGGGUAACGGCUCACCUAGGCGACGAUCCCUAGCUGGUCUGAGAGGAUGACCAGCCACACUGGAACUGAGACACGGUCCAGACUCCUACGGGAGGCAGCAGUGGGGAAUAUUGCACAAUGGGCGCAAGCCUGAUGCAGCCAUGCCGCGUGUAUGAAGAAGGCCUUCGGGUUGUAAAGUACUUUCAGCGGGGAGGAAGGGAGUAAAGUUAAUACCUUUGCUCAUUGACGUUACCCGCAGAAGAAGCACCGGCUAACUCCGUG
rnacentral:rRNA from 1 species